rnacentral:rRNA from 1 species
AGUGAACGCUGGCGGUAGGCCUAACACAUGCAAGUCGAACGGCAGCACAGUAAGAGCUUGCUCUUACGGGUGGCGAGUGGCGGACGGGUGAGGAAUACAUCGGAAUCUACUUUUUCGUGGGGGAUAACGUAGGGAAACUUACGCUAAUACCGCAUACGACCUACGGGUGAAAGCAGGGGAUCUUCGGACCUUGCGCGUUUGAAUGAGCCGAUGUCGGAUUAGCUAGUUGGCGGGGUAAAGGCCCACCAAGGCGACGAUCCGUAGCUGGUCUGAGAGGAUGAUCAGCCACACUGGAACUGAGACACGGUCCAGACUCCUACGGGAGGCAGCAGUGGGGAAUAUUGGACAAUGGGCGCAAGCCUGAUCCAGCCAUACCGCGUGGGUGAAGAAGGCCUUCGGGUUGUAAAGCCCCUUUGUUGGGAAAGAAAAGCAGCAGGUUAAUACCCCGCUGUUCUGACGGUACCCAAAGAAUAAGCACCGGCUAACUUCGUG